rnacentral:rRNA from 1 species
CAGUUCGGACUGUAGGCUGCAACUCGCCUACACGAAGCUGGAAUCGCUAGUAAUCGCGGAUCAGCACGCCGCGGUGAAUACGUUCCCGGGCCUUGUACACACCGCCCGUCAAGCCAUGGGAGCCGGGGGUGCCUGAAGGCCGUGACCGCGAGGAGCGGCCUAGGGUAAAACUGGUGACUGGGGCUAAGUCGUAACAAGGUACC